GGGCCCGCACAAGCGGUGGAGCAUGUGGUUUAAUUCGAUGCAACGCGAAGAACCUUACCUGGUCUUGACAUGCUGAGAAGUUACUAGAGAUAGUUUCGUGCCUUCGGGAACUCAGACACAGGUGCUGCAUGGCUGUCGUCAGCUCGUGUCGUGAGAUGUUGGGUUAAGUCCCGCAACGAGCGCAACCCUUGUCCUUAGUUACCAGCGGGUUAAGCCGGGAACUCUAAGGAUACUGCCAGUGACAAACUGGAGGAAGGCGGGGACGACGUCAAGUCAUCAUGGCCCUUACGACCAGGGCUACACACGUGCUACAAUGGUAGGUACAGAGGGCAGCUACACAGCGAUGUGAUGCGAAUCUCAAAAAGCCUAUCGUAGUCCGGAUUGGAGUCUGCAACUCGACUCCAUGAAGUCGGAAUCGCUAGUAAUCG
rnacentral:rRNA from 1 species